rnacentral:tRNA from 1 species
ACCUGGCUGGCUUAUUCAGCAGAGUGUGAAACUCUUGAUCUUGGGGUUGUAGGUUCGAGCCCCACGCUGGGUG